AUUGAAAUCGGAGGCUAAAUAUCAUCAAAAGAUGGCUCCCUUGGAGGAUACAGCUUCCUAGAAGCCUCAAGCCAAAACCCAAAACAAACAACAGUGGUUACAUUGGCUAGACAUAAUUGCAAGGCAUUUGUCCAGCUUUAUUUCUUCAAAGUCACUCACAAUGAAUGCCACACCGAAUGAUCUCGAAGAGACUUUAUUCUUUGACUGUCACAUAGAUUAAAGAAGGCAAGUGAUAACCCCCUGGAAAUUGUUACAGAAGCCUGGCAGCCCAAGCAUCUUCACUUUAAAGAGGAAGAAACUGUCUCAAAGAGAUUAAACGACUCUACUCAUCUGAGCUAACCCAACAACCGAGUCCGGCUGUCGUGACACUACCAAGAACUCUGCCUAAGGAGAAGUACCAGCUAGUGCGCCCGUCUCCCACCGCCUUUCCUGCCCCCACUGCGUCCUUGACCCAGACCUUUCACUGUGGAUUUAAAGCAGCCCUUAAAAUAGUAGG
rnacentral:lncRNA from 10 species